rnacentral:rRNA from 1 species
GAUGAACGCUGGCGGCGUGCCUAAUACAUGCAAGUCGAGCGAACGGACGAGAAGCUUGCUUCUCUGAUGUUAGCGGCGGACGGGUGAGUAACACGUGGAUAACCUACCUAUAAGACUGGGAUAACUUCGGGAAACCGUAGCUAAUACCGGAUAAUAUUUUGAACCGCAUGGUUCAAAAGUGAAAGACGGUCUUGCUGUCACUUAUAGAUGGAUCCGCGCUGCAUUAGCUAGUUGGUAAGGUAACGGCUUACCAAGGCAACGAUGCAUAGCCGACCUGAGAGGGUGAUCGGCCACACUGGAACUGAGACACGGUCCAGACUCCUACGGGAGGCAGCAGUGGGGAAUAUUGCACAAUGGGCGGAAGCCUGAUGCAGCAACGCCGCGUGCGGGAUGACGGCCUUCGGGUUGUAAACCGCUUUCGCCUGUGACGAAGCGUGAGUGACGGUAAUGGGUAAAGAAGCACCGGCUAACUACGUG